UUUGGUGAUCAGGUCAGUGAUUUGUCUUCCCUAAGUAUAUUUAAAGAUUUUGAUAAGUGUAUCUAUCGUUAAUGCCAUCCAGUGCAGUUGAAAAUGUUGAUAUGAGCAGUAUUAAUACUUAGACAACUUGCAGAGACUUUGCUGUGCUUUAUGCCUGUAACUUGUUUGAUCUGGAGUUUAAUGACCACAUCAUUGUAACACUUUUCAGUUUUUUGUAGAAGCAUCACUUAAUCAUACUGUCGUGUCUGGUCGUUAUGUUAAGUUUGCACCUUUUACUUCAGUCUUGUCUUUCAUGUUUGUCAUGCCUACUUUUAUUUUGUAGUCCUGUCUCUCCUCUCGUUUCAGGUAACUUCACUUCCUGUCCUGUUAUUUUCCCGAGGUUGUGAUUGUCGUCCCUGCCCCUCAUUGUUUCCACCUGUGCCCCAUUACCUCCUGUAUAAAAGUCUGUGUCUUCCCCUGUCCUGUGCCAGAUCGUCGUGUCUUUUGACUUUUAAAGGAAGAGGACUAACUACAGGCUCGGCAGACUGCUGUCUCAGUUGAAAAAGAUGUGGAGACAACAGCGGAGACCAGUGUGGAGCACAUGAUUUUACAGGAGAGGCAGCAGGAUGCGUCCAGGCUAACCAGCAUGCAUUCUCAGCUGAGGUGGCACUGCCUGCUGUUCUGAAGAUGGAGGAAGAGGAGCUUGCAGAGGCUGUGCAGCAGUUUGGAAAGGUUUGGGAGGAAAAAAAUGAGGAAGGCCUUGACCACCAUGUGAAAGAAUCAAUUUUGGAGGAAAACAAGUUUGUUUUUUACGACAUGGAAGAUUUGUGAAGAGAUUAUAGAUAGCAGAGGGUGUUCGGUAGACUGUGAAUGCUGGGUGCAUCACAAGUAAUGACAGGGUUGCCAAAAUUAAUUCAGAAAAUGUCUCAGAACCAAGGCUGACUUUGAUUGAGAAGUACUGCUCUUGUAUAAAUAUGCCUAAUAAAAUGUAACAGAACCUCA